CAGCCGCCGCGGUAAUACCGGCGGCCCGAGUGGCGGCCACUCUUAUUGGGCUUAAAGCGUCCGUAGCCGGGCUGGUUAGUCUCCCGGGAAAUCUGGUCGCUUAACGAUCAGACUUCCGGAGGAUACUGCUGGCCUAGGGACCGGGAGAGGCCGAGGGUAUUCCCGGGGUAGGGGUGAAAUCCUGUAAUCCCGGGAGGACCACCUGUGGCGAAGGCGCUCGGCUGGAACGGGUCCGACGGUGAGGGACGAAGGCCAGGGGAGCGAACCGGAUUAGAUACCCGGGUAGUCCUGGCGGUAAACGAUGCGGACUUUGUGUCGGACAAGCUAUGAGCUUGUCCGGUGCCGCAGGGAAGCCGUUAAGUCCGCCGCCUGGGGAGUACGGCCGCAAGGCUGAAACUUAAAGGAAUUGGCGGG
rnacentral:rRNA from 1 species